rnacentral:misc_RNA from 1 species
AGUCAAUCCAGCAAGAAAAAAUUGCGCAUGUUUUGCUUCAGUUUCUGUUCGUCGAGUCCUUCGGUGUCUUCGGUUAGAGAGUGCGUCGGAAUGACUUCGCCGAGGUACCUCCUAAGGUUCGCUUACCUCGGCACCAGAUACAGAGGGAUGCAGCGCCAGAGCACACGUCCCCACACUGAGCACUGGACUGUCCAGGGUGCCAUCGAGGCCGCGUUGUGCCAGCUGGGCUGCCUGGGUGAUCCAGUACUGGUGCUUGCGAGUCGAACUGACACGGGCGUUCAUGCAUUCGAAAGUGCAGCACACGUGGACCUUCGGCCAGCCAAUCCAAAUCAAGUUUUCCAGCCUCAGCAGCUUGCCGUUGGUCUCAACACUGUGCUGACACGCCACAAGCACGACAUCAUCAUCCGCGACGUGUUGCAGGUGCCUGCCUGGUUCCACGCACGGCACUUGGCCAUGUGGCGCAGUUACCGGUACCGUGUGGCCGUCGUCAAGGCGUUGCAAUCCGACGAGCCAAUUCGUGUCGGAGGUAUUCGCGCCUGGCUCCCACUCGCAGAACUCAAUCGGUGCCACAUCGUUCCGCCCUUGGAUUUCGACUUGGUGCAUGAGGCAAUGGAGCUGUUGAGUGGUGAGCACGACUUUCGUUCCUUUAAGGGCGUCAGUCACACACCUGAAGAGAAUGAGCGCAGCACAGUCCGAGAUGUGACCGACUUCCGACUCCGGCCGGCUGCGCCGCUGGACUGCGACGACCCGCUGUACGAGAAAGUCCAACUCUGGGAGUUUCACAUCCGCUCCAAGUCAUUUCUCUAUCGUCAGGUGCGGCGCAUGGUGAGCAUGGUGCUGCAUGCCGGUCUGUCGGGACAUGACACCCUUUUGGUGAUGCGCAAGCUUUUGGAGAACCCGAGCAAGCACAACUGGCCCGGCAACGUCACUGUCGUGCCCGCAUGUGGUCUUUACCUGAUGCGUGUGCAGUACAACCCCGAACAUCUGGAUUUGAACGCAGAGAUGCCGAAUGAAGUGGCCGAUAUGUACGAUGCCAAGAAAAAUGAACCACUCUACGAAGAGGAGAAUGAGAUCGACGAAGAGGUCGUCGAGCAAGUUACAGCAACCUGAGUAUGGCUCAGAGUUAUGGCAACAUGGCUGGGACACUGUGUUCCAGAAGGACUUCUUUAAGGGCCAGUUGUUGCUUACAUUAGUCAGGUUCUGGUGAAAAAUACAUUUCGUGAAAAAGAGAAGAAGGUGAAGCACCAACUACCAUCUGUUUAAUGGCAAUCUUAGAAACCUGCAGGGAAGGAAGGGUCACUUUUCGCGGAUGCCUGAAGAGUGAUCGUACGAGGUCAAAGAGAAAGUAUCGAGAAAGUGGACAUCGAACGAAUGUGCUUUCAACUCUAACAUGUGUCCCAAGUGUGGAGAAAGAACACCAACAGCUGCUCUCCCAAGCGUGUCGACUGUAUGGUGAACACACAACAGGAUAGCACCCUCCUACAAAAUCGAGAAUAGAGCCAGCAGCCAAAAAGAAAGAAAAAGAUUAAUAUACUCUUCAGUCAUAGGAAUCGAAAGUAAAACAUGUCCUUACAGAAGUAUAGUGGAAUUUUUAUUGUAUACAUUGAUGCAACAGAGCUUGCACAAUGUCUGUUGGUGUUUGGCAGCUGUAACACCCUUUAACCUAGAUGCACUCAUGUUAACGCUUGGUGGCACAUCUCCAUCCCGACGAAUAAAGACCAAGAUCAAUAAUUUAACAAACCUUAUUGAAAACUGUGGCCGUACUAGAGGCUAGCUUCAUAGUAAAGCAGACUGAAAAAGAUGAAGACAGGUACUGAACUAACAACUGUCAUGUUUAUUGUGCAGAAAGGAAUGAAUACAUGUUGUCCGACUGCGUGUGCAUCGUCACAUUACAGAUACUUGUCACUUUUGUCGAGCCAGCUAAAUUCGCAAUCAUGAAGACAUAUAGACAAGGCAGAAAUGCAGAGAUCAUGGUUGUGAAGAAAUCGUGGUUGUAUGUGUGUGCGUAAUGUGAACAGCUGUAUGCUAAUAUUUCACAUGGCUGACGAUGACAAGAACGCUGUGAAGCAAUGGUGUACAGUCAUAGGCGUCACAAUUUGAUGACCAAUGAGGAGUAGCUAUACCUUUUACUUUGUUGUUGUGCUGGUGCAGUCUCUCUUUAGUGGCAAGUAUGUGUAAUGAGAUGAUGCACCUGCAGUCAGACUACCUGUAUUCAUUCCUUUCUGCACUAUAAACGCAACAGUUGUUAGUUUUACAGUGUCUGUAUUGUGUACUCCUUCAUCUUGUGUCUUCAAAUUUUUGGGCUGUUCUACUAUGAAGUCAGACCAACUAGCCCCAUUUUGCAUGCUCUUAAGAAGAGGGAAGCACAUCGUGUCUCCCCCUAGCUCGGCUGAGAUCUUUUUUGGGACGAGACCAAGCAGUGUUUACCCCGUUUCACAAGCUGAUGGCACUGCUGGCAGCAGUAGCAAAUAGUGCGUCAACUAUUUUAACAAUCUCAAACAAUUUCAUGCACUACAAACACAUAAAGUGACUGUAUGGUUAGGAUUCAUGUUUUAAAGCGUCCAAAGUGUUUUAUUAAUUUUUGGAAUCAAUUGCAAAAACCCGCUUGCAUGCAGCUCAGCAGAAGCUUGUUGUGAGGUGGUGAUGCGCUGCCUUUUUGCAACAUGGUCUAGGCCGAGUUGUUCGUCUUUGCAACACGUCCCACAAACUCGCUGGUGAGUCAUUUUUCACGAGUGUGAUUUUCCCUAGCUGGCAAAGGAAAUAGCUUUAAACAUUCUUCAAGGGAUUCGUGCAGUUCAGGAAGAUUGCAAUUGUGGACUGCCCUCAUCGAGAGGACGGGAAAGCUUGCCGAAGCGAGCGACCGAAUGCGAUAUCAGUAAAAAACGGUGGCAGAGAAAGUGUUCGUAUGGUAAAUGUUGUGAUUGGGCGAAGAGGCUGGAUGAUCUUGAGUCAAGCACCUUGCGGAGGAUGGUGCACAUAUUUAUUGAGACGUGAGAUUCCAACAAUCACCUAGGUGGUGCAGUGUUUCGAAGAGAAUGAGAUGCAAUCGACCAUAGCCACAACAAUAAUGCAGAGGAUGUUGAGUAGCUUGGCUUCAAUUACAAAGAACGCUCUCUAAACGCAUUUCUCAUAGAAGCAAAGUGCAUUGGGCAAUUCCACCGCUGGUUUCUACAGAGCUGCGAUGCCAGACUCAAGUUGGGAAGAGUACGAUAUGUUAAGAACUUUUCUCGUGGGAUCACGACAAUCACUAAGUGGUGCGUGCUAGAUAGGAUCAUUCAGUGCUAUUGCAGGGACAGUAGGAAACAAAAAAAUGAAAAAAGAACAUGCACUAUUACUUGGGAUAAUAAAGCUUUGGAAUGAUUGA